CUGCCACCCUCAUCUCAGACGUCCAGCUUCCAGAGCUGGGAAGGAAUAAAUUUCUAUUAUUUAAGCCAUCCACUCUGUUGUAUUUGGUUAUGAAAGCCUGAGCAGAUUAAUAGUUAUUAACCUAGUGUUAGACAGAAGCUCAGAGCACAGGGGACACAGAGGUUGACUCGCUGAACACCAAAGCCAGGAUACAUGAAACUUGCCUUGAAGCAUGAGUCAUCUUUUAUUCAGCUUCAGAAGAAACAUUUAAGUCUUUGUUUCAUUUCCAGGGGACAGAGAAAGUGGUAAAAUAAAGUGGAGUGCUCCAAAGAACAUGCCCUAAAGGGAGUAUCUGCUGAAUGGAGAAAGGAGUGGUGGUAAGU